CCUGUUUGCCUUAUGUUUUGGGAAUGAUGAUUUCCUGCAUGUAAAUGUAUUUAUAUAAGAGGAUGAAGCUGCGAAAGGCAUAGCCUGAGGGUGACAGAGUGAUGUAAUCACAUAAGUGUCAACAGGCUUGGUGUGCAGGAAAAAUAUUUGUCUCAACAUGAAACACCAUGUCUAGCAGAGCUCGUGAGCUGAAUGGCCCAUCUUCUUUUAUAGCACCUGUGGAAACCAUUGCUUCAACACACCUGAUGGUUUUGAUCAACAUAAU